AUGAAUGCUCGGGAAGUUAUGGAGAGAAAGGAGACGAUCCCAGUGAUUAAUGCCAAAGCCCUGUUGCCUGGGGAGAGGGUGAUGCUUGACUUUCUUGUACAGCUGCAGUUUGUGUGGUGAAGGUGCUCCCACAAUGUGGUUGGAUCCCAGUGAUUAAUGCCAAAGCCCCAUUGCCUGUGGAGAGGGUGAUGUUUGACUUCCUUGUACAGCUGCAGUUUGUGUGGUGAAGGUGCUCCCACAAUGUGGUUGGGUGGACAUUCAGAUGGUAACCACAGUAUUUGUAACACCAAACUCUGACAGAAUUACUCAAUUCAUCAGGACCUGGAUAUUUGCAUUUAGUUGGUACUGAAAGGGUGGAUUUGUGAAUGAGAAAUUCAAAUUGAGCUUCAUGUUCAGACCUGAUGGUUACUGGAUCCGUGCCGAUCUGAAUAUCAUUGACCUUUU